rnacentral:rRNA from 1 species
GUGGGGAAUAUUGGACAAUGGGCGAAAGCCUGAUCCAGCCAUGCCGCGUGUGUGAAGAAGGUCUUCGGAUUGUAAAGCACUUUAAGUUGGGAGGAAGGGCAGUAAGUUAAUACCUUGCUGUUUUGACGUUACCGACAGAAUAAGCACCGGCUAACUUCGUGCCAGCAGCCGCGGUAAUACGAAGGGUGCAAGCGUUAAUCGGAAUUACUGGGCGUAAAGCGCGCGUAGGUGGUUUUGUAAGUUGGAGGUGAAAUCCCCGGGCUCAACCUGGGAACUGCCUCCAAAACUGCAUGACUAGAGUACGGUAGAGGGUAGUGGAAUUUCCUGUGGAGCGGUGAAAUGCGUAGAUAUAGGAAGGAACACCAGUGGCGAAGGCGACUACCUGGACUGAUACUGACACUGAGGUGCGAAAGCGUGGGGAGCAAACAGGAUUAGAAACCCCGGUAGUCC